rnacentral:lncRNA from 1 species
GCUAGUAAUCGAUGGCGGCAACGAAAUUGGUAAGAUCCCACUCUCUCACUUGGCCUCUCCCUCCCCUCCCCCUCUCUUUAUGUGUGUGCAGUCCGCAGGUUUGAAAUACGCAGUAAGUUUAAUAAUAUCUUUAAAAAUGUGUGCUCCUUUAAUUCAUGGAAAUAGAGAAGCUCUUGAAGCAGUAAAGUCCUUUAUGUGCAGCAAUUAAUUAAGCUUCAUUAUUGUUUUGUAGUUUUCUAAAAAGUACUUUCAUGAACUCGUUACACAUGUUUUUUAUUUUGAUAGCAGGCUUGACAACAAGUUUUAUUUUCUGUUGUUUAUCAGUGAAUGGUUGGUGAAGUAACGAUUGAAGGAGAUAUUAAAUUGUUGUUUGUGAUAUCAAGUGGCUUUCCUACAAUAAAGGACUAUGAGCAUGUCACUGAUUUGCAAAUGCUUUCACUGCUACCUGUUAUUAAUCAUCCGAUUUCUUACUUCUUCCAUUUAUGCAGGAAUGAUGUGAAGAGAGUCCUCCCUGUUCUUAAUCAUCUGAUUUCUUACGCCUUUCAUGUAUCUAUGGAUAUAGCGAGAGAAGUUACAUGAAACACAAAAGAGGUGAGCUAAAGGUACACCUUUUCCCAUCGGUGAUAAUGAAUUCUCUUUAGUUGCUUUAGUAUGAAAUGAUAUUGGAGGCAGCUUAGAGAAAUAACCAUGUUCUCUAGUUGUCAUGCGGAAAUAUUAACCAUGGAUUUUGACUUGUAGAUUUUCAAAGUGGAGUAUGUUCUCCAAUGAGAUGUAGAAGCACGACUUUGAUUUCAAGUUCUAGACGAACACAAUAAUCUUGGUGGAAGGCUGUGAGCCUGUGUAUGUAGUUCCCCACUACAAGGAGCCAAGGCAAAUGAUGUGCCUCUUUAAGACAAAUUAUAGAAAAUAAAGCAAGAAAUUUUUGCUCUUAGGAAAUGAACCAUAAUGUUUCCUCUACUUAAUUA